rnacentral:lncRNA from 1 species
CCGGUGUUUCAGUGAUACACCACAACCCUCUGACUUCUGUCUUCGGGACUGCCUGCCUUUUCAGGGCCCAUCUCCAAUUGCACUUUCUAUUUCUGUUUCCAGGCUGUAGUUCUGACUGAGGGGCUUCUCACUGGCUCUUUCUUCUUAUUCUUCCUUUUAGGUAUACUUAAUGUAUAUCUGUACAAUGUAUUUUGACAUAUCAUACAUACAUGGAGUAUAACUUCCCAUUCUUGUGGUUGUACAUGAUGUGGUGUUACUCUGGUGGUGUAUUCACAUAUGAACAUAGGAAGGUUAUGUCCAAUUCAUUCUACUAUCUUUCCUAUUCUCAUACCCCUCACACCUACUUCCUUCCCUUAAUUCCCUUUUGUCUAAUCCAAUGAACUUCUAUUUUUCCCUCCCCCCACUUAUUGUGCUUAGCAUCCACAUAUUAGAGAGAACAUUAAGCCUUUAGUUUUUUGGGAUUGGUUUAUUUCACUUAGCAUGAUAGUCUCCAGUUCCAUUCAUUUACCAGCAAAUGCCAUAAUUUCAUUCUUCUUUAUGGCUGAGUAAUAUUCCAUUGUGCAUAUAUACCACAAUUCUUUAUCCAUUCAUCUGUUGAAGGGCACCUAAGUUGGUUCCAUAGUUUAGCUAUUGUAAACUGAGCUGCUAUAAACAUUGAUGUGACUGCAUCACUGUAGUGUGCUGAUUUUAAGUUUUGGGGGUAUAUACUGUGGAGUGGGAUAACUGGGUCAAAUGGUGAUUUCAUUUGAAUUUUGUUUUCUGAGGAAUCUCCAAACUGCUUUCCAGAGUGGUUGCAACAAAUUUGUAGUCCCAUGCUUGGCUCUUGAUGCCCUCACAAAAGUUGCUCUCCAUCCUUAGAUGGGACCACAGAGCUUCCCACCAUCAUUUCAUCUCCUAGUCUCCACAAUGGCUAAUCCAUGCUUGCUCCCCUCAAGUCUCAGAUCAUACUCCCAUUUCUCAACCCUCAACAAGUCAAACAUCCCCGGUGCCAAAAGAAAUAAAUACUCCCAUCUAAGAAUUCCCUCCAGUGUAUUUUCAAAGUCACCCAUUCUUACCUCCUUGUCUGCAGCUCAGUGAUAGUCUUUCUCCUCCCAUAAAAAGGGUGAUAUGUUCUGAGAAAUGCAUGGUUAGGGAAUUUCCUAGUUGUGUGAACAUCGCAGAGUGAGCUCACACAAUCUUAGAUGGCACAGGUCAAUCACUCCAAGUGGCCUCUUGAUGCCAUUAACAAAAACAGUAAACUAGGGCCCAGACUGAGUGUUUAGAAAAAUUAAACAUUUAUAUUUAUACUUAGAAUCAUAUCGAUCGUGACAAAUUUGCUUAUUGGAAACCUCUAGUAAUGUCACUAGUCAAUGCCACUUUCUUGAAGUGUACCAUGUAAGGAGCUCUGCUUUAGAGCCUUUUUGAAACAGAUUGACUCUAUAGAAAGCAGGAUCAUACAGCUAUAUCACCAGGAGUGAAAAAUAUGUUCUGGUGUUUUUCUGUAAAG